rnacentral:rRNA from 1 species
AGCGAACGCUGGCGGCAGGCCUAACACAUGCAAGUCGAACGGAACCUUCGGGAUUAGUGGCGGACGGGUGAGUAACAGGUGGGAACGUGGCCUUUGGAUAGGAACAACUCAGGGAAACUUGAGCGGAUACAGGAUGUGACACUCGGGGGAAAGAUCUAUCGCCAUGGGGGCGGCCCGCGUCUGAUUAGGUAGUUGGUGAGGUAACGGCCCACCAAGGCGACGAUCAGUAGCUGGUCUGAGAGGCUGAUCAGCAGCACUGGGACUGAGACACGGCCCAGACUCCUACGGGAGGCAGCAGUGGGGAAUCCUGCGCAAUGGGCGAAGGCCUGACGCAGCCAUGCCGCGUGUAUUAUGAAGGUCUUAGGAUUGUAAAAUUCCUUCGGCGGGGACGAUAAUGACGGUACCCGCAGAAGAAGCUCCGGCUAACUUCGUG